GUGAAGGAUCUAAAACCUGAAAAGAGGCCAAAUGAUUCCUCAAAACCACGCAAGUACGAAGUAGCAGAGCGGAUCUCAAAUCCAGACACAGAGGGAUUGAAAUGCAUAACAAUAGAGAUGAAACACGAAGAGUGAUAAAUGAAGAUUGAGUGUGCACACCUUCUGGAGGAGCCCUGAUUGAGUAUUUUAAAAUACUACUAAAGUCAUGCCGUGUGACUUCUGAAGCUAGCUCCUAAGAAGUCCUUGCAGCUUCUGCCUGCGACUCUUAGAACACUUGCUUUGAAGGAUGCCAGAUGCUGUCUUAAAAGUCUGAGCACUCUGAAACCAUCAUGCUGUGAGGAAGCCCAAGCUAACCACAUGGGCAAAAAAGAUGCCCUCUGACUGCCACCAUUUGAGACACUCUAAUUAAGAACUGCCUCAUUGAGCCCAUGAGGCCCUGUGAAUGAUAAUAAUAAAUUGUUUUUAACCACUAUGUUUUUGGAUUUGUUAUAAGUUUAUAGAUAACAAGAAAAAGUUAUAUUAGCAUGGUAAUAAAAUUAUGGAUAUGUGUAAGUUUGGUGUUUUGUUUCUUUUUUUUUUUUACACUAAGCCUAUAUUACUGUUGUAAUUUAGGAAAUCACUUGUUUUCCUCCAGCACUUCAAUGUAAGAGUGGCACUACUUAGAAUGUACUUCUUAAGAUAUGGCU
rnacentral:lncRNA from 10 species